rnacentral:rRNA from 1 species
GACGAACGCUGGCGGCGUGCUUAACACAUGCAAGUCGAACGAUGAAGCCGGAGCUUGCUCCGGUGGAUUAGUGGCGAACGGGUGAGUAACACGUGAGCAAUCUGCCCUUGACUCUGGGAUAACUGCGGGAAACUGUAGCUAAUACUGGAUACGACACCUUGGGGCAUCCCAGGGUGUGGAAAGAAUUUCGGUCAAGGAUGAGCUCGCGGCCUAUCAGCUAGUUGGUGAGGUAAUGGCUCACCAAGGCGACGACGGGUAGCCGGCCUGAGAGGGUGACCGGCCACACUGGAACUGAGACACGGUCCAGACCCCUACGGGAGGCAGCAGUGGGGAAUAUUGCACAAUGGGCGAAAGCCUGAUGCAGCAACGCCGCGUGAGGGAUGAAGGCCUUCGGGUUGUAAACCUCUUUUAGCAGGAAAGAAGCGAAAGUGACGGUACCUGCAGAAAAAGCACCGGCUAACUACGUGCCAGCCGCCGCCGUAA